AACACUGUUAACCUGCGGUACCUGCGGAAGGAUCAUAACUGGUUAAACUUUAUAAACACCAGAGUUUCAAACUCUGUGUUUGCAAACAAAAAACACCCUUCAAAACAGCUAUUCAGUGUCUGAAUUAACUAGUUUAAUAUAAAAACAACUUUCAACAAUGGAUCU
rnacentral:misc_RNA from 1 species